rnacentral:rRNA from 1 species
UCUGCCUUGGAGUGGGGAAUAACGGCUGGAAACAGCCGCUAAUACCGCAUGAUGCAUCUGAGUCGCAUGGUUUGGAUGCCAAAGAUUUAUCGCUCUGAGAUGAGCUCGCGUCUGAUUAGCUAGUUGGCGGGGUAACGGCCCACCAAGGCGACGAUCAGUAGCCGGACUGAGAGGUUGGCCGGCCACAUUGGGACUGAGACACGGCCCAGACUCCUACGGAAGGCAGCAG